CCUCCCUAUAGCCAUUGGAAGGAGCGCAGGGGGGAGGGAUGAAUGAACAGGCAGACAGAUGGAAGGUGGCCUUUCAGGGAGAUCUAAAGCUCAUAAAAACUGAAAUGGCUGCAACGCAUUUCCAGGCGUGACCUGAAAGAAGAAUCUAGAAUGAAGUUAUUCUGGAUGCCUAAGCACUUACGUCACUCUCCUCGUUUGAAAUUGGAUGUUAAAGAAAAAAAACAGUGGAGCAUAAUGAAAGCAGAAGGAAGCAUUAGUGAUGAAACGCUUCGGGCUUCUGUGUUCUUAGGUGAAACAGAUGACAAGGUACUUGAUCAGCAGAAGACCAUGAAAGCAGCAGGAAGAGGGAGAAUCCUCUGCAUUUGCUGCUGAUGGAAACAGUAGAAGAAAAUCUCAUUACUGUCUUGAAGUCCUCAAAAACGGGAAUGAAUGAUAUUAACAAUGGUGUCUAUUAAAAAUGGCAUCUGAAACAUCAUUGUAAAGUGAAGAUUUAUUUAAAAAAUCUAGAAUGGUCAGAGUUGUUUGUUGUUUUUGUGCCCCAUCUGCCCACCAGAGAAAUCCAAGGCCACAUAUGCACCUGCUGGUAAUGGUGAGUGAUGAGAUCUGAGCCAUUAUGCUUACACUGCACAGGACAAAGUGGAAAUUUUGUCUUGUUUGAAGGGACACUCACUGCUCUGGUGAGCUGUAAAAUGGUGAAGAUAAUUGUAUUUCAUUGCAGUGAGUUACCGAAAUCUAC
ensembl:lncRNA